rnacentral:rRNA from 1 species
UACGAAGGGGGCUAGCGUUGCUCGGAAUUACUGGGCGUAAAGCGCACGUAGGCGGCUUGUUAAGUCGGAGGUGAAAUCCUGGAGCUCAACUCCAGAACUGCCUUCGAUACUGGCGAGCUUGAGUUCGGGAGAGGUGAGUGGAACUGCGAGUGUAGAGGUGAGAUUCGUAGAUAUUCGCAAGAACACCAGUGGCGAAGGCGGCUCACUGGCCCGAUACUGACGCUGAGGUGCGAAAGCGUGGGGAGCAAACAGG